CUUGUACUCCCUCUGUCCGGAAAUACUUGUCAUUGAAAUGGAUGUAUCUAGAUGUAUUUUAGUUCUAGACACAUCCAUUUUGAUGACAAAUAAUUUCGGGCGGAGGGAGUACUUG
rfam:Triticum aestivum genome assembly, contig: Triticum_aestivum_CS42_TGACv1_scaffold_221428_3B